rnacentral:rRNA from 1 species
UGGGGAAUCAUGGUCAAUGGGCGAAAGCAUGAACCUGCGACGCCGCGUGAGUGAUGAAGGUCGUAGGAUCGUAAAACUCUUUUCAGGGAUCUUAAAGCCUGUCUGUCAACAACAGGCAGGUAUGACUCUCCCUGGAAGAAGCCCCAGCCAACUACGUGACAGCAGAUGCGGUAAUACGUAGGGGGCGAGCGUUAUUCGGAAUUAAUGGGAGUAAAGGGUAUGGAGGAGGCCCUUCAAGUCGCGUGUCAAAGUCCAGUGCGCAUCGCUGGGUGUGCAAGCGAUACUGACGGGCUUGAGGGCUUGAGAGUUUAGCGGACAUCCCGGUGGAGUGGUAAAAUACGUAGAGAUCGGGAGGAACACCAGCGGCGCAGGCGGCUCACUAGACAGUUUCUGACGCUAAGAUACGAAAGCGUGGGGAGCAAACACGAUUAGCUACCCUAGUAGGC